rnacentral:rRNA from 1 species
GAAUCUACGGGGGGCAGCAGUGAGGAAUAUUGGUCAAUGGUCGGGAGACUGAACCAGCCAAGCCGCGUGAGGGAAGAAGGUACAGAGAAUCGUAAACCUCCUUUGUCAGGGAACAAAGGCGGGGACGUGUCCCCGGAUGAGUGUACCUGAAGCAAAAGCAACGGCUAACUCCGUGCCAGCAGCCGCGGUAAUACGGAGGAUGCGAUCGUUAUCCGGAUUUAUUGGGUUUAGAGGGUACGCAGGCGGUCUG